GGCUGGGUAGCUCAGUGGAUGAGAGCCAAGCUAGAGGGUGGGAGGUCCUAGGUUCGAAUCCAGCCUCAGCCA
rnacentral:tRNA from 1 species